CCUACGGGAGGCAGCAGUGAGGAAUAUUGGUCAAUGGGCGGAAGCCUGAACCAGCCAAGUAGCGUGCAGGAUGACGGCCCUACGGGUUGUAAACUGCUUUUAUACGGGAAUAACGCGCCUUACGUGUAGGGCUUUGCAUGUACCGUAUGAAUAAGGACCGGCUAAUUCCGUGCCAGCAGCCGCGGUAAUACGGAAGGUCCGGGCGUUAACCGGAUUUAUUGGGUUUAAAGGGAGCGUAGGCCGUAUGGCAAGCGUGAUGUGAAAUUACCGGGCUCAACACCGGCCGUGCAGCGCGAACUGGCGUGCUUGAGUCCUCGGAAAGCAGGCGGAAUUCGUCGUGUAGCGGUGAAAUGCUUAGAUAUGACGAAGAACCCCGAUUGCGAAGGCAGCUUGCUGCAGCGGAACUGACGCUGAUGCUCGAAAGCGCGGGUAUCGAACAGGAGUAGAUACCCGGGUAGUC
rnacentral:rRNA from 1 species